UACGGGGGGGAGCAAGCGUUGUUCGGAUUUACUGGGCGUAAAGAGCGUGUAGGCGGCCAGGUAGGUCCGCUGUGAAAACUCGAGGCUCAACCUCGAGAUGUCGGCGGAAACCAUCUGGCUAGAGUCCGGAAGAGGAAAGUGGAAUUCCCGGUGUAGCGGUGAAAUGCGCAGAUAUCGGGAAGAACACCCGUGGCGAAGGCGGCUUUCUGGGACGGUACUGACGCUGAGACGCGAAAGCGUGGGGAGCGAACAGG
rnacentral:rRNA from 1 species